UGCAGCGAAGCAAACACCGAAAGAGAUGAAUUCCCGGGUUACAAUGAUCUUCAUUUACAUCGUCCUCGCCUUCUCGUCCUGUACCCUUCCUCAGGGAAGCGCUGAGAACUUGGAAGACUUGUCUCUCGGUUCUCCAAUGCAUUAGAAGCCCUAUAAAAACAAAUCGGAUACAAGUUCAAGAACAUAGAACCUCUUCGUCGGGUAGUGACCCACCCCUCCUACUCCGGAGAGAACUACAGAGCUUUAGCUAUUUUGGGUAUGAACGUCAUCCAAAUUUCAACGUCUCUCCGCUACCUCCAACGGGAUAUAUAUAGAGAUGUCGGCCAAAGAGUAGAAUUGUCAGGUAACUGAUGUCUCAGAAAUGCAAUCUUCUUGCGCUGCCGACGCGUUGCGGUUAGAGUUGGACAAAGUGGUGAGGGUUUAGGAAGACAGACUCUACCCUGCCGUCCGUCCUUUGUGGUGCUUCGUGCUUACCGAGACAUCUUUGGUGCCAUUGCCCUGGACAUGGGUAAGCCUGAUGCCGCGGCCCGCGGGUAGUGUGUUCUGGCCUUCUGCCCUUCUGGGAUGUUCACGAUGCUGGCGAUUUUCAUGCAGAGGAGCACCAUGUUGUUGGAAAUGUUGCUCUCUAACCUCUAAUACAUAAAUAAGUUUUUGUUCUUCCGUCAAUCAGAGAUUUACUGUUACUGUGUGUCUAUCCUAGCCUGUUUCUUGUGUCACUCCUUGGUGAAAUGUUCAAACAAUAAUUUUUUUCUGUGUUAGAGAUCUUGUAGCCACUAGAAAUGUCUAUACUUUUCUUUGGUAAGAAAGAAAUGUUUAUGUUUAAAUGCUAAGAAAGUUCAGUA